rnacentral:rRNA from 1 species
CGACGCGGGCACUUGUGCCCGAGUGGCGAACGGGUGAGUAAUACAUAAGUAACCUGGCCUUUACAGGGGGAUAACUGCUGGAAACGGCAGCUAAGACCGCAUAGGUAGGGACACUGCAUGGUGACCGUAUUAAAAGUGCUGCAAGGCACUGGUAGAGGAUGGACUUAUGGCGCAUUAGCUGGUUGGUGAGGUAACGGCUCACCAAGGCGACGAUGCGUAGCCGACCUGAGAGGGUGACCGGCCACACUGGGACUGAGACACGGCCCAGACUCCUACGGGAGGCAGCAGUAGGGAAUUUUCGGCAAUGGGGGGAACCCUGACCGAGCAACGCCGCGUGAAGGAAGAAGGAAUUCGUUCUGUAAACUUCUGUUAUAAAGGAAGAAAGACGGAUGGAGGAAAUGACAUCCGAGUGACGGUACUUUAUGAGAAAGCCACGGCUAACUACGUGCCAGCAGCCGCGGUAAUACGUAGGUGGCAAGCGUUAUCCGGAAUUAUUGGGCGUAAAGAGGGAGCAGGCGGCAGCAAAGGUCUGUGGUGAAAGACUGAAGCUUAACUUCAGUGAGCCAUAGAAACCGGGCAGCUAGAGUGCAGGAGAGGAUCGUGGAAUUCCAUGUGUAGCGGUGAAAUGCGUAGAUAUAUGGAGGAACACCAGUGGCGAAGGCGACGAUCUGGCCUGCAACUGACGCUCAGUCCCGAAAGCGUGGGGAGCAAAUAGGAUUAGAUACCCUAGUAGUCCACGCCGUAAACGAUGAGUACUAAGUGUUGGAAGUCAAAUUUUCAGUGCUGCAGUUAAC